GGCAGCAGUGGGGAAUUUUGGACAAUGGGGGCAAGCCUGAUCCAGCCAUGCCGCGUGAGUGAAGAAGGCCUUCGGGUUGUAAAGCUCUUUCAGCCGGGAAGAAAUCGCGCGGGUUAAUACUCUGUGUGGAUGACGGUACCGGAAGAAGAAGCACCGGCUAACUACGUGCCAGCAGCCGCGGUAAUACGUAGGGUGCGAGCGUUAAUCGGAAUUACUGGGCGUAAAGCGUGCGCAGGCGGUUUUUUAAGACAGAUGUGAAAUCCCCGGGCUCAACCUGGGAACUGCGUUUGUGACUGUCUGGCUAGAGUACGGCAGAGGGGGGUGGAAUUCCGCGUGUAGCAGUGAAAUGCGUAGAGAUGUGGAGGAACACCGAUGGCGAAGGCAGCCCCCUGGGCCAAUACUGACGCUCAUGCACGAAAGCGUGGGGAGCAAACAGGAUUAGAUACCCUGGUAGUCCACGCCCUAAACGAUGUCAACUAGGUGUUGGGUGGGGAGACCCAUUGAGUACCGCAGCUAACGC
rnacentral:rRNA from 1 species